UACGGGGGGGGCAAGCGUUGUUCGGAAUUACUGGGCGUAAAGGGCUCGUAGGCGGCCAACUAAGUCAGACGUGAAAUCCCUCGGCUUAACCUGGGAACUGCGCUUGUAACUGGCAAGCUAGAGUGUGGCAGAGGGGGGUGGAAUUCCACGUGUAGCAGUGAAAUGCGUAGAGAUGUGGAGGAACACCGAUGGCGAAGGCAGCCCCCUGGG
rnacentral:rRNA from 1 species